rnacentral:rRNA from 1 species
AAUGAACGCUGGCGGCGUGCCUAACACAUGCAAGUCGAGCGAGAAAGUCCCCUUCGGGGGGCGAGUAAAGCGGCGCACGGGUGAGUAACGCGUGGGUAACCUGCCCUUGAGUGGGGGAUAACCAGCCGAAAGGCUGACUAAUCCCGCAUACGACCGGCAGACACAAGUCUGUCGGGGAAAGAUGGCCUCUGCUUGCAAGCUAUCGCUCUUGGAUGGGCCCGCGUUGGAUUAGCUAGUUGGUGGGGUAACGGCCUACCAAGGCUGCGAUCCAUAGCUGGUUUGAGAGGACGACCAGCCACACUGGAACUGAGACACGGUCCAGACUCCUACGGGAGGCAGCAGUGAGGAAUAUUGCGCAAUGGGGGAAACCCUGACGCAGCGACGCCGUGUGAGCGAUGAAGGCCUUCGGGUCGUAAAGCUCUGUCAGAGGAAGAAGGGUACGGCGGGAAUAAUACCCGCCGACAUUGACGGUACCUCGGAGGAAGCACCGGCUAACUCCGUGCC